CUAUACAUGACUCUGCGCAUAUCAAUAAGCGGAGGAAAAGAAACUAACAAGGAUUCCCCUAGUAACGGCGAGUGAAGCGGGAAGAGCUCAAAUUUGAAAUCUUCAAGGUUUUACCUUGACGAAUUGUAGUUUAAAGAAGUGUUUUCUGCUGAAGUUUUGGUAAAAGUUCUUUGGAAUAGGACAUCAUAGAGGGUGAGAAUCCCGUAUUUGACCAUUAUUUUCAGCUUUGUGAUACACUUUCAAAGAGUCGGAUUGUUUGGGAAUGCAGUCCAAAAUGGGUGGUAAAUUUCAUCUAAAGCUAAAUAUUGGCGAGAGACCGAUAGCGAACAAGCACCGUGAGGGAAAGAUGAAAAGAACUUUGAAAAGAGAGUUAAACAGUACGUGAAAUUGUCAAAAGGGAAGCGUUUGACACCAGUGUUGUUUUUCUGAAAAUCAAUUAAAGAACUGUUUAUGCUAAGUUGUUUAGACUUUAUCAGCUAACUGUUUAGUUUUGAGCUUUUCUUUAAUGCACUUUUCAGUUAACAAGUCAACAUCAAUUUCUUUUGCUGUAAAAAAGCUUGAGGAAGGUGGCUUGAGAUUCGUCUUAAGUGUUUAUAGCCUCUUGCCUAUGCAGUCGGAGAGAUUGAGGUCUGCAGCGUAGAUCCUUCGGGGCUAAAUGCAUUUGUGCUAAGUUAUAGCAUUUUAUAGACAACUUGUUGACUAUGAUUUGUCUUGUAGCUUACUCGCUUAUGUUAUUUUACCUACGCUUAGGAUGUUGACAGCAGUAUAGACUGU
rnacentral:rRNA from 1 species